UGAGGAAUUUUGCACAAUGGAGGAAACUCUGAUGCAGCGACGCCGCGUGCGGGAUGAAGGAGCUUAGCUCUGUAAACCGCUGUCGGGUGGGAAGAGAAGCCCUAAGAAGGGCUGGGACUGUACCACCAAAGGAAGCACCGGCUAACUACGUGCCAGCAGCCGCGGUAAUACGUAGGGUGCAAGCGUUGUCCGGAAUUACUGGGUGUAAAGGGUGCGUAGGCGGAACUGCGCGUCGAAGGUUAAAGACCUCGGCUCAACCGAGGAAGUGCCUUCGAUACGGCAGUUCUAGAGUAUAGGAGAGGAUGAUAGAAUUCCUGGUGUAGCGGUGAAAUGCGUAGAUAUCAGGAGGAAUACCAGUGGCGAAGGCGGUCAUCUGGCCUAUUACUGACGCUCAGGCACGAAAGCGUGGGGAUCAAACAGG
rnacentral:rRNA from 1 species